AUUGACCGCUGGCGGCAGGCCUAACCCAUGCAAGUCGAACGAGUGGCGGACGGGUGAGUAAUGUCUGGGAAACUGCCUGAUGGAUGGGGAUAACUACUGGAAACGGUAGCUAAUACCGCAUACCAUAAGAUGUGCCCAGAUGGGAUUGGCUUGUUGGUGGGGUAACGGCGCACCAAGGCGACGUUCCCUAGCUGGUCUGGGAGGAGGACCAGGCACAAUGGAACUGAGAAACGGUCCAGACGCCGACGGGACGAAGCAGUGGGGAAUAGUGCACAAUGGGCGCAAGCGUGAUGCAGCGAUGCCGCGUGUAUGAAGAAGGCAUUAGGGUUGUAAAGUACUUUCAGCGGGGAGGCGGUACCCGCAGAAGAAGCACCGGCUAACUCCGUGCCAGCAGCCGCGGUAAUAC
rnacentral:rRNA from 1 species